CUAUGUGUUGUUGGGUAGGGGAGCGUUCUGUAAGCCUGUGAAGGUGGCCUGUGAGGGUUGCUGGAGGUAUCAGAAGUGCGAAUGCUGACAUAAGUAACGAUAAAGCGGGUGAAAAGCCCGCUCGCCGGAAGACCAAGGGUUCCUGUCCAACGUUAAUCGGGGCAGGGUGAGUCGACCCCUAAGGCGAGGCCGAAAGGCGUAGUCGAUGGGAAACAGGUUAAUAUUCCUGUACUUGGUGUUACUGCGAAGGGGGGACGGAGAAGGCUAUGUUGGCCGGGCGACGGUUGUCCCGGUUUAAGCGUGUAGGCUGGUUUUCCAGGCAAAUCCGGAAAACCAAGGCUGAGGCGUGAUGACGAGGCACUACGGUGCUGAAGCGACAAAUGCCCUGCUUCCAGGAAAAGCCUCUAAGCAUCAGGUAACAUCAAAUCGUACCCCAAACCGACACAGGUGGUCAGGUAGAGAAUACCAAGGCGCUUGAGAGAACUCGGGUGAAGGAACUAGGCAAAAUGGUGCCGUAACUUCGGGAGAAGGCACGCUGAUAUGUAGGUGAAGCGACUUGCUCGUGGAGCUGAAAUCAGUCGAAGAUACCAGCUGGCUGCAACUGUUUAUUAAAAACACAGCACUGUGCAAACACGAAAGUGGACGUAUACGGUGUGACGCCUGCCCGGUGCCGGAAGGUUAAUUGAUGGGGUUAGCGGCAACGCGAAGCUCUUGAUCGAAGCCCCGGUAAACGGCGGCCGUAACUAUAACGGUCCUAAGGUAGCGAAAUUCCUUGUCGGGUAAGUUCCGACCUGCACGAAUGGCGUAAUGAUGGCCAGGCUGUCUCCACCCGAGACUCAGUGAAAUUGAACUCGCUGUGAAGAUGCAGUGUACCCGCGGCAAGACGGAAAGACCCCGUGAACCUUUACUAUAGCUUGACACUGAACAUUGAGCCUUGAUGUGUAGGAUAGGUGGGAGGCUUUGAAGUGUGGACGCCAGUCUGCAUGGAGCCGACCUUGAAAUACCACCCUUUAAUGUUUGAUGUUCUAACGUUGGCCCGUAAUCCGGGUUGCGGACAGUGUCUGGUGGGUAGUUUGACUGGGGCGGUCUCCUCCUAAAGAGUAACGGAGGAGCACGAAGGUUGGCUAAUCCUGGUCGGACAUCAGGAGGUUAGUGCAAUGGCAUAAGCCAGCUUGACUGCGAGCGUGACGGCGCGAGCAGGUGCGAAAGCAGGUCAUAGUGAUCCGGUGGUUCUGAAUGGAAGGGCCAUCGCUCAACGGAUAAAAGGUACUCCGGGGAUAACAGGCUGAUACCGCCCAAGAGUUCAUAUCGACGGCGGUGUUUGGCACCUCGAUGUCGGCUCAUCACAUCCUGGGGCUGAAGUAGGUCCCAAGGGUAUGGCUGUUCGCCAUUUAAAGUGGUACGCGAGCUGGGUUUAGAACGUCGUGAGACAGUUCGGUCCCUAUCUGCCGUGGGCGCUGGAGAACUGAGGGGGGCUGCUCCUAGUACGAGAGGACCGGAGUGGACGCAUCACUGGUGUUCGGGUUGUCAUGCCAAUGGCACUGCCCGGUAGCUAAAUGCGGAAGAGAUAAGUGCUGAAAGCAUCUAAGCACGAAACUUGCCCCGAGAUGAGUUCUCCCUGAGACUUAGAGUCUCCUGAAGGAACGUUGAAGACGACGACGUUGAUAGGCCGGGUGUGUAAGCGCAGCGAUGCGUUGAGCUAACCGGUACUAAUGAACCGUGAGGCUUAACCUU
rnacentral:rRNA from 1 species